rnacentral:lncRNA from 1 species
GUGGGAGGAUGUCCAUGCCUCUCUCAGGACACACCACGUUGUGCACUGCAAACGUGGUUCCAAUUUUAUCAUGCUGCCUAAUGAGGACGUUGCCAUUCCGGCAACCAAGGAUGUAGGUUGGUACCGACGGUACUCUCUGAUAGGUGCCCAAGCUAGAGGUUGCGCGACGGAUGACAGCAGUGAGUUCACGGGGCUGAGGCAAUAUCGGGAUGAAGUGCGGGGUGUUCUGACCUUUGUUGAUGUAGAAGCCAAGAAGGCGGGGCGGGUGGAUCUCACGAAAUCGAUGGAGGAAGGCGCGGUCGGAGGCAUGGGCGAGCCAACGUGUGCAUACGAGGGCGGAGUUGAGAAGGGUGGUGGUGAAGACGGUGCGGAGGAGGAUCUCACUGAGGAGGUCGUCGUCCUCGAGCACCUUGGAUAUCGCCGCCAUUGAUGUUGGGGAACGCUGGUCAAACUGGGGUUAGGGGAGAAGAAUUGUAGGUCGAUGCCGGGGACGGGUGGGGUGAAGUCGCCGACGAAAUUGCGACACUCAUCCUUUAAUUGCUUACGUUUCAGGCAAGUGAAGAAAUGGCUUUUGGCACCUACCCCAAAAAUAAAUGACCACCCAGCCUGGCCAAUUAAGCCAAAAAUGGUAACUGUCGCAAUGUACAGCAAUUGUGGUCCACCUGCUUUUAUCUUCCGUUUUAUUGUGGUGGCGUGUGUUGCUUGCCUUUGUGAUCCCCACACCGGUCCACUACGGAUAGGGAGGGGCAUGGCCGUCGCUUCGCACAAAGCAGCUACUGAGCGAACCUACCGAAAGGUUUUGUACGAGUUUUACUGAUUUUAUGUAUAAACAUUUUAGAAGGUUCUGGUAUGUUUUCGCUAUUUUUAAUGGUUUUUUGUUGUCUAAAAAAUGUCCAUAAACAUUCAGAAUCUCAAAAUUUUACUCUGAAUUUUUAAAAGUUCAUACUUACAAAAAAAUAUACUCUCUGCGUCUCAAAAUAAGUGACUCAACUUUGCACUAAAGUUAGUACAAAAUUUAGUCACUUAUAUUGGGACAGAGGGAACAUUUUUUGAUUUGUUUGCAAGAAAUAUUUGGAAUUUCAAAAUAUGUUCAUGUUUUAAAAACAAAAAAAUCUCAAAAAAUGUUCACCUUUCAAAAAAUGCUUGCGUCUUCCAAAAAAGAUCAUAAACAUUUUGAAAAGGUUCAAAAUUUUCAAAUAAAAAUAAAAAUCUAAAAAUAUGUUCACACUUUUGUAUUUUUUUGUGAUUUUUUAGUAGGCUGAAUGAAAAGAAAAUAAGCACUCCUGCCGAUCGAUAUUAAUUGUCGCCGACUUAGUAAAUCCACAGCAAUUAACAUGGAUUAGAGGGAGUUCUAAAAAAGUGUGUUGCUAUAGUGCCCACUCCUUCACUUUUUUACUUGUCUCUCUCCUACACUUAGACAAAAGUGCCAUGCAAGCGGGCUUAUAGCCCACUAUUAUACUUACUCUUAUAUUGUUAACUGCUAAUCUAAGACCGGUUUAAAGCGUGUUCUAGUCUAUCUGGAUUGAGCGAGGGUGGUGACGUGUCAUGCACUCAUAUCAUCAUCCUUCACUCAUAACUGGAUAGCUUCUUCUACUUGUUUUGGCUUUGCACUUAUCUUGACAUGAAUAAUCUACAUAGUACUGUCAACUCUGACUAUUCGAAAGACGCCAAUUAGAAAAAGUAUAUACAGCAAAAUUACACCGUAAAAUAAUGGUUAAUUCGAUAUACAAGCCACGUCCGCAAUGGCAUUUAGCAAAGUAUCAGAAUGCUGGCAAUGCAAUGGUUAAAAGUUUCUUUCCAAGUGAAUUUUUUGUGUCGUCUGAUCAAAAUUUCAAUCAACGGGGUCGAUCUUGUAUGGUUUGUGUGGUAGGGUCAAUUUUCUCAAGGAAAAUGGAUAAGGUUGAACAGUGGUAAAUCCACAUUUGUUUUCUCACCAAUAAUUCGACCGAUCAGAUCAUGGGCACCACCAUCAGUUGCAAGAAAAAUUGAUGCAAAAUCGGAAACACAAUUUCUUGUGUCACAACGAACAGCUGAGUUAAUUGUAAGAAACCACCACACCACAUUGAAGGCUAGAUUAGCAGAAAACACGAGUUUACAUUUUUUUUGGACAAACAACACCAUGUCUAGUGUAAUCGUUUGGCAAAUAACAUUGAUUGGCGCAUUAGGCUUAUUUAAGCGUGUUUAUGGCAGGUGGGUCCCGCAUUUCGCUCACAUGGCAUAACAGUUCACGGAGACAGGGUUGGUUGAAAUGUACCAACAAUAGUCCCUGGAAUUUUACAUAGACACCCUUUAAUAAAAAACAAAAGCGAUCAGCCCCCGUGCACUGUGCCCAUGUGCUGCCGGAAUCCCGCCCGUCGCCGCUAGGUGGUCGCAGCCGCUCCGCGUGCCAGUCGUUGCACUCCGCCGCGCCUGAAGGCAUGGAGACAAUGGCGACGAACCGCACGCCGCCGGGAGCAGCCGCCCUGCAGGACACCCUCCGCCACCACCGAGGCGGUCAACGCCGACAGUCGGGGCCCUCCCUCAGCUUCAAGUAGGCGACCGCCGUAUAUGGUAUGUCUAGCCGGUGGCUAGAAUCGAUUCAACAACUAGCUCCUGUGCUUGUACGUCCGCAUCCAACCGGGAAGAAUCAAUCAACGCACGCCUAGAUCCGCAGUAGACAAAGUACUUCUUGCAACACCGAGCACUGUGCAUGCGUGCUAGUUGUUGCUGCUGCUUGCGGGAGAUGCGGCGGCCACCUUGUUCGCGAGGCAGAGUAGGCGCCAUUGGGUUCUUGGUGGGCAGUGGCGGCGCUAGGAAAUGAAGGCUGGGUAUUCAUUUAAAUAUAUUUUUUGCUCUAAAUAUAGUAUAUGAACCAAACAACAUACCACUAGCAAUAUAGAUGAACAAAACAACACUAGCAUACUAGAUGGAUGCAGAAUGUCCAGGGCGGAGUUGUGGAGGUGAGCCGGGAGGGGCUGGGCGCCUACUUGGGCCGGGGAGCCGCCAACCGGGAGGUCGGAGGCGGACCGGCGCCUGGCGAAGCCGCACCGCCGCAGAGGUCGGCGCAGAGCGGCAGAGGGUCGGAGGGCGUCUGGGCAAGGGCGGGCCAGCAAGGGAGGGAGAGGGAGAGGGUGGCCGGAGGGGAGGGGACCGAGGGGUGAGGCGAGGGAGGAAGGAGAGAGCCGACCUGGCCGCCGGAGCCGGACCUGAUUCCAGGGUAGGCUGAAUCGGGGGAGCUAGCUAGGUUUGGCAAAAGAGGGUCGAUUGAAAUUGGGGCUUGGCCGCUCGAGGCAGUACGUAAUCGAGGGAGGGAGACGAGCCACUCGUGCGCCUAGCCACUUAGCCAGACGCUGACUCGGUCGUGUCUGCUCCCCUGCGUAGCUUUUUUGCCGUGGCCCUAUUCCUUCUAUCGUAUAUGUACUAAUUUUUUUACGCGAAAUACUUGGGUAUUCCAGGGAAGUCCCAGGAAGACCCCUAGCACCGCCACUUUUGGUGGGGAGACCGGGUUGAGAGCGGCAUGGCGGCGGAGACCACCAUGCACUGCACUGCGAGCAUGCUAGGAGGUUUUGAGGCGCCGGCCGCGGAUCCGGCAUGGGGCAUGGCGUUAGAAGGGCGGGGGCUAUCUGGUCUGCGGUGGGGGAAGGUUUGGGGACGGCUGGUGGCCCGGGGAGAAAGUUUGGCACAUUUUUGCAAAAGACCCGCCGUCUCUUGCGAACUGUUACGCCACCUAUGCAAAAAAUGGGGCCCACCUGUCAUAAACGCGCUCAAAUGAGACUAAUCCACCUGUCAUAUUGGUUCCUACAUAUUCCACGAAGGUCAUUUAUCGUUUGAACCACGUUGUCAAGGAUUCGUUUAAUCCCGUAUGCAAUUCCCUUUGUCUGGGAAUAUGUUACUUGCCUGAGAUUGGAUCGUCAGUAUCUCCAUAUAUACCUAGUUCUAUCUCGUUAUCGACAAGUCUCUUUACUUGUUCCGUAAUACAAGAUCUCGUGACUAACUCAUUAGCCACAUUGCUUGCAAGCUCUUUACGAUGUUGUAUUACCGAGAGGGCCCAAAGAUACCUCUCCUCACACGAAGUGACAAAUCCCAGUCUCGAUCCAUGCCAACCCAACAGACACCUUCGGAGAUACCUGUAGAGCAACUUUAUAAUCACCCAGUUAUGAAGUGACGUUUGAUAGCACACAAGGUAUUCCUCCGGUAUCCGGGAGUUGCAUGAUCUCAUGGUCUUAGGAAUAGAUAGAUGACAUGAAGAAAACUAUAGCAAUAAACUCAAGUGAUAUGAUCAAAUGUUAAGCUUACGGUUGGGUCUUGUCCAUCACAUCAUUCUCCUAAUAAUGUGAUCCCGUUAUCAAAUGACAACUCAUGUCUAUGGUUAGAAAACCUUAACCAUCUUUGAUCAACGAGCUAGUCUACUAGAGGCUCACUAGGGACAUAGUAUUUGUGUAUGUAUUCACACUUGUAUUUAAGUUUCCGGUCAAUACAAUUCUAACACGAAUAAUAACCUUUAUCAUUAAUAAGGAAAUAUGAUAAUAACCAAUUUAUUAUUGCCUCUAGGGCAUAUUUCCAACAGGUAUCUUCCCGGGACCGACCCUGGAGAAUCGGCCAGACAAAUGCGCAAGCGGGCAUCAAUGCACUGGACUAAUUUCCGCGGCCAAUUGCACUGCAAAACCACCAACAAACAACAAUCCAUGCAUCAGCUCGCUAGAGGACAUGUAAAAUCAGUGUGCAGGAAAUGAAACACAGGGAGAACGGAAAUUAUAUUGCCGUUUGGGAAGAGAAGAGCUCACAUCGCCGUUUGGGAAGAGAAGAGCUCACAUCAACCAAUUGACGUGAGGCUGGAAGAGGAAGCGUCUUUCGCCGUCGGGGACGGGCGAGGUCAGGCCGCCGCCGCCCCCUCCUUAAUUUCUUUCGGCGGGGCUGAACUGCGUUUUUUUGAGAAAGCUGAAGUAUUCGAGUGGAAGUCGGUGGCUGGUUUUGGGAAGCUUCUUGAAGCUUCCAGUCCUUUUUUCCUUGGCCUUUUUUGUUUGGUUUGUCUUAUUUUCCCCUUUUAUGUUUUUCAUAUUUCCAUUUUUUUUCUCAAAAUGCAUGAACUCCUUUCAAACUCAAGAACUUUUUUCAAAUUCGUGAGUGUUUUCCAAAUUUGUUUUUUUAAAUCGUGGACGUUUUCCAAAUCUGUGAUUUUUUUCACAUUUGUGAAGUUUUCGCCUAAAAUUCCUGAACAUUUUUUAAUUUUAUUUUUCCUUAAAUCAUGGACCUUUUCCAAAUUCAUGAAUUUUUUUGUCCGUGACCUUUUUCAAACUCGUGAACUUUUAAAAAUCCACAAACUUAAAAAAAAAUCAGUGAUUCUUUUCCCAAAUUCGUGAAUUUUUCUCAAAUCUAUAAACCUUUUAUUAAACUAUUUUUUAUGAAACCUUGUCAGAGGGCGGGGAGCUCCCACGUUGCAUACUGAAGAAGAGAGUUGGUCCAAUUAAUUAAGGUACCCGACCCAAAAAUCAUAAAAAACUAACAAAAACCACGCACGCAACUGUUGAUUCAGCAUCAUCUACAGACUUCGUAUGGAAUGCCAUGUUUCAUGGGAGAAGCAGAUAUUGAGAAAUUUGCAGGUGCUUCACAAUGUAUAUUGCCAGAAGAAAGCUAUGAGCUUCAGAUUAGGCACCGAGAGUAUAUAGCAGUUGCGGCUUGGAUCCUGAGUAGAGAUGUGAAGGAUAGGGAGCAGGUCCCGAUGAAGGUUGAGAGUGAUGUACAACAAAUUGCAGCAGAUUCAUGGGCUCCAUUAUUGAGCAGGUUAACUCAAUCAGGUUUGCAGACAUCUGCAUAGCACCUACCUAAAGUGGCAGCAUGCAUAUGAUUUGGGGAAACAACAAUUUGGGGCAAACAACAGAGUUGAUGUUGUCAUCUUCUCUCUCUUUCUCUCUCUCUCCAGUCUUCCCCCAUUUCUUCUUUCCAGAUACAACAGAGUAGAUAGCAAGCAUAAAUCAUGAUACAAGACUAGGGCUAUCAAAGGUAAUAACAAGGUGAAGAAAAUCAUGCAAAAGAUAUAUCAUGAUAAUCAAGCAUAAUAAUAGGUAUUAAACUCCAGAAAGGAUCGAAACCAGGUAGGUAGCUCUAGAUAUUAAAAACAGGUGCUCAUAACUUUUCAGGUUGCACAUGUCACCCAUCACAACUAAGGAGAAACUUUGGGGUGCAUUUAUUCUCAACUCAUCUACGAUGGAGCUCCAGUUUAUUGGUAGUAGAGAUAGCUAGUGUCCAUCUAUAUCCUUGAUCUUUAGCCUGAGCAUGGCAUUUCUGUUCCAAACAAAAUAGGAAAACACAAAGGAUCAGGGAUGAAGAUGAUUAAGCACAAGUGGAACAAGACAAAUUGGCAAGUAAUUUUGCAACAACAUUCAAAUGUUAUGUGUCACUCAAAAUGCAUAAUGAUAUAAUUGACCAAGCAAUGAUGACUAGAUGCUUCCAUACCCCAAACAUGUUGUAUUUUUCCUUCUACAGCGUGAAAAGUAAAGAAAACAAUAGUCAAUGAGGGUAUAAGUCACCAAGGGGGAGUUUUUAGACUGGAUUAUACACUUGACAUGUAGGGCGAAAAUAUCAUGGUGGUAUAUCUAAAUUGAAAAACAUUCAAUAACACAAGUGUGCCGAUGUAAAUUAUGCUAUCCAGAACUGAUAGGUGUGGGAAUAAUGGCAUGCUUAAAUAGACAUACAUGGAAAUUUUAUUCCAUGACACUACCGUAUCCUUUCUCGCAAAAAGAAUAACGACAUUAUUCUAAAAAAACUGCAAGUAUGUACAUCCAAAGUAACAUGACUGAGGUUCACCAUUCAAGGUCAGCUUACUGGUGAUAAGAAUUCAUAUAAUGUGAUAUCAAUAUAUGAGAAAUGAAGAAGAUGCAAUACAUGAACUUCCAUUCUUCAACUGCUAAUCCCUCUCUCUAAUUUCCCGGAUAUAUAACCCAAGACAACAACAACAGUCAUGACCACAUAGAAAAAAAACAACUGUAGCGAAAUCAUGCUACAGGUACAUAAAACAUCUCAAUUGUUGCUUACUAGUCUUCCUAAAAUGGCCCGAGGAAUCAAUUAUGUACCUACCACCAUUCCAUGAAUGUACUACACCAUGACUGUUGAUGAACCAUUAAUUAAAAUAAUAGAGGACUAAUAGUUUGGCAAUGCCAUUCAUCCUUAACUACACUGGAUAUGUUGGUGUAUUGAUCUAAGCUACAGAUUUUAGCUUUAAAGCACACAACAAGACAAAGCAACUGAAUAGAAAAUAGAUUGAUAGAGUGAACAAUUCAAAAACAUUAUAACCUCAACAAGACAAUAGAUUAUAUGAAGGCCAAAAAACAAACCUUGUAGGAUCAUCCUUGAGUGCAGGAAAUACGGGAGGCCAAAUCAUCAUAAGAGGAUGGAUUUCACAGAAAAAUUUAUCACCGUCUUCCUUCUCAUACACCUUAUGCAUUGUUCUGCGCUUGAUGUCCAAGAGGAAUGUGCAUUGACCCCUGUCCAAGAACACAAACUCGGCAUUGUCUCCUGCCUGGUUUAUCAGGAGAGAAGCAUUGUCAUCUGCCAUACUCAAAUCAGCACACAUCUCACGCAAAUAAAUGGUGUCCAUCAGCAACCAUGUGUACCCAUUGUGGAGCCAGAUGCGAAGUUGAAACUUCUUGACAUGGAUAAGAUAUACACCAGCAACAUCAUCAGCCUGUGACAAUAUGGUGUUUCUCUCACCAUACUCCAUCCCUUCUGGGAGCUCAAUUAUGGAGAAACUCGAGGCCGCCAAAUCCAAGACAAUAAUGUUGCUCCAGCCAGCUGGCACGUAGAUUUUAUUGUUGGACAACACAGAUUUAAGUACUGACCAUGGACGAGGGGGCUGCUGUAUGAUCAAGCUAUGAUUCAUGCGCCAUAUGCCAUGUUUCAAGAUAUAUAUGUAUACCCUAUGUUUUCCAUCCGUUGUUUGGUGCAUCAACACAUACAAGUAAGACAAGGCAUUGCCCUCUUCUUUGGACAUGAUUCUAGAGUAAGCAGUACCGUCAAAUAAGUACGGAGAUUGGGGGCGUGGAAAUGGUGGGAGGAUGUCCAUGCCUCUCUCAGGACACACCACGUUUUGCACUGCAAACGUGGUUCCAAUUUUAUCAUGCUGCCUAAUGAGGACGUUGCUAUUCCGGCAACCAAGGAUGUAGGUUGGUACCGACGGUACUCUCUGAUAGGAGCCCAAGCUAGAGGUUGAGCGACGGAUGACAGCAGUGAGUUCACGGGGCUGAGGCAAUAUUGGGAUGAAGUGCGGGGUGUUCUGACCUUUGUUGAUGUAGAAGCCAAGAAGGCGGGGCGGG